AUGAACGUUGGCGGCGUGCCUAAUACAUGCAAGUCGCGCGAACGGACGAGAAGCUUGCUUCUCUGAUGUUAGCGGCGGACGGGUGAGUAACACGUGGAUAACCUACCUAUAAGACUGGGAUAACUUCGGGAAACCGGAGCUAAUACCGGAUAAUAUUUUGAACCGCAUGGUUCAAAAGUGAAAGACGGUCUUGCUGUCACUUAUAGAUGGAUCCGCGCUGCAUUAGCUAGUUGGUAAGGUAACGGCUUACCAAGGCAACGAUGCAUAGCCGACCUGAGAGGGUGAUCGGCCACACUGGAACUGAGACACGGUCCAGACUCCUACGGGAGGCAGCAGUAGGGAAUCUUCCGCAAUGGGCGAAAGCCUGACGGAGCAACGCCGCGUGAGUGAUGAAGGUCUUCGGAUCGUAAAACUCUGUUAUUAGGGAAGAACAUAUGUGUAAGUAACUGUGCACAUCUUGACGGUACCUAAUCAGAAAGCCACGGCUAACUACGUG
rnacentral:rRNA from 1 species